CGGUUAUCAUGGUACCGUUGCUGUGUAUAUGAAAGGUACAGUACUGUGAUAACUGAA
rnacentral:pre_miRNA from 1 species